rnacentral:rRNA from 1 species
CUCUAUGGCCAUGCCACCCUGAACAAGCCCGAGCCCGUCUGAUCUCAGAAGCUAAGCAGGGUCGGGCCUGGUUAGUACUUGGAUGGGUUAGUACUAGGAAGACCAGGUGCUGUAGGCA